UGGGCUCCCUCGUCUGGUCGCCGCAAUCGGGUAUAGAAAAAGGGAAAAGGGGGAACAAGGCAACCGUGAGUACUCAUCCAAUGUACUCGCAAGCAAGGAGCUACACUACAUAUGCAUGGGUAUAUGUGUAAAGGGCCAUAUCAGUGGACUGAACUGCAGAAUGCCAGAAUAAGAGGGGGAUAGCUAAUCCUGUCGAAGACUACACUUCUGGCAGCCUCCGUCUUGCAGCAUGUAGAAGAGAGUAGACUGAAGUCCUCCAAGUAGCAUCGCAUAGCAUAAUCCUACCCGACGAUCCCCUCCUCGAUGCCCUGUUAGAGAGCGAUCACCGGGUUGUAUCUGGCACUUGAAAGGGUGUGUUUUAUUAAGUAUCCGGUUCUACUUGUCAUAAGGUCAAGGUACAACUCCAAGUCGUCCUGUUACCGAAGAUCACGGCUAUUCGAAUAGAUAAACUUCCCUACAGGGGUGCACCACAUUUCCCAACACGCUCGAUCCCAUUCAGCCGGACACACUUUCCUGGAUCAUGCCCGGCCUCGAAAGAUCAACACGUCGCAGCCCCACCUAGGCACAACAGAGAGGUCAGCACGCCGGUCUAAAUCCUAUGCACGCAGGGGUCUGGGCCCAUCGCCCAUUGCACACCUGCACGUUGCGUACGCGGCUGGAGAGCAGACCUAGCAACCUCCAUUACAAAGGAAGUCACGUUACACAGUUCAACCCGAUGCACGCCGCUCAGUCGCUGACGUCACGAAGGCUUUGGCUGAUACAACGAUGUCGAGUGCUCAUAUCUUUCCCGCGUAGUUGGUUAGUGCGUAUAGGCCAGUAGCCAGACUCAGAUCAAAUACCAAGAUCUCGUUAAGCGUGUUAAGUAUCCGCGAACGCCGACCAGGGCCAGGCCCACCUCUCUCCUAGGUGGUCUCAACCUGCCCUGUCGCUCCGCCACAAAGUAACAGUCGGGGGUCGUCGGGAACCCAGGCCCACCACUACCUGGGUGGAACCACCUGCCCCUUCAGCCCCCAUCUCCAAACAGCAUCACAGGUAAUGUAACAGUGUAAAGUAUAUAGUAUAUGCCCGUGAUCACCUCCCGAAGUGAUCACGGCCCAGUAGUAUAGUAUGGCAGACGGACAAGAGUGUAGGGCCACUGAUGGAACACUAGCGUCCUAUACUAAGCAGUAGGAUAGCAGGUAAAGGUAACAACAGUAGUAGCAAGGACAGGCUAUGCAGCAGUAUAGGAUUAACUGAAAGCAGUAACAUGCUAGACUACUCUAAUGCAAGCAGUAUAGAGAAGAAUAGGCGAUAUCUGGUGAUCAAGGGGGGGCUUGCCUGGUUGCUCUCGCAAGGAGGGGCCAUCUUCGAUGUAGUCGAACACACGAACAUCGGCAGCGGUCUCGGAGUCUACCGGAAAGAAGUAACGGAGGGGAACACAAUAAAUAACAGAGCAAUCAAAUGUAACACAAAGCAAGACGCGGCAAUACAUUGUGCUAAGGGUGACCUCACGCAGGGAUAGGUGAUACCGGCGAAAGGGGAAACAUCCGGGAAAGUAUCCCCGGUGUUUCGCGUUUUCGGACAAAUGAACCGGAGGGAAAAAGUUUCGUGUUUGUUAUGCUAGGGAUGUGUGGCGGACAAACGGGCUACACAUACGGAUUCGUCUUGUCGUUCUGAGCAACUUUCAUGUACAAAGUUUUUUCAUCCGAGCUACGGAUUAUUUUAUAAUAAUUUUCAAAGAUUUAAUCAUAUUAAGGAAUUAUCUUAAUUCAAGAAUAAAAGUGAAGUUGCUAAGUGUACACAACAAGUGUACACAUCCUGGUCAUUAGAGGCUGACAGUGGGCCCUGUUGACCAGGUCAACUGUUUACCAGCUGACUGGUCAACUAGGUAGGGGACCCGCAUGUCAGUUUCUGUUAGUGUUAUCUAAUUAGCCAAUUAGGUAAUUAGGGAUAAUUAAGGAGAAUUAACUUAGUUACUUAAUUAAUUAAUUUAAUUAUUAUUUUUAUUAUAUAUAUUUUUGUUUCCAGGGGCUGGGCCCCACGUGCAGUGGCACACAGGCCUAAGCGGGCGCUGGGCGCUGGGCGUGGGUGCGGGCGUGCGCCCGUGGGAGCGGACUCCGGCCAGGGGGAGGGCAUGGCCCCGGGCGGGGACGGCGGCCACAGCAUGCGGUGGCCGCGCUGGCAGGCAGUGGCGCACGCGGGCUAAGGCGAGAGGCGGCUGCGGCGCGCGAUGCGGAGCGGCGGCCAGCGCAGGGUCACCGAUGGGCGCGCGAUGGGGGCGCUGGAGAGCAGGGUGUGGCCCUGGACGACGGCGACCCUGGUGCACGGGGAUUGCGGCGCUAGGAUCUGGCGGCGGGGGGGCUAAGCAGCGGCGUGGCCAGCGCGGUGAGAAGCAGAGGUGGGGCGCGGCAGAAGCAGUAGCGAACAGCAGGAGGCGAGGCAGGCGCGCGGCGGCUGUAGCGGGGCAGUUGCAGAGCGCGACCGGAUGGCGUGGGUCGCGUGUGCAGGGGCGCCCAGGAGCUCGUGGGCGUGCGCUGGGGUGAGCCCGGAGAGGGGCGUGGUCAGGGCCAUGGGCGAGCACGCGCGGAGCGAGCUUCGGCCAUGGCGGCGCAGCGCGGGGACGGCCUCAACGGCGACAAAUCGAAGCAGGGAGAGAGGGGUUUGGGAAAUAAGCUCACAGCGGUGCUUGCAGGGACAAGCAGCGGGCUCGGUGGUGGCGAAUUGAAGAUGGCCGCCUGCGAUGCAGAAAGUUGGAGACGGGGUUCGGUCGCGUCGUCUUGGUGCUCCUUCGGAGGCGUUCGUCGGUGUAGUGGAAGAAGACCCUGAGGCGGACCUCGCAGGCACAGUGUGCGGGCAAUU
rnacentral:lncRNA from 1 species